rnacentral:rRNA from 1 species
ACGUAGGGUGCGAGCGUUAAUCGGAAUUACUGGGCGUAAAGCGUGCGCAGGCGGCCCUUUAAGUCAGGUGUGAAAGCCCUGGGCUUAACCUAGGAAUGGCGCUUGAAACUGGGGGGCUAGAGUGCGGCAGAGGGGGGUGGAAUUCCUGGUGUAGCGGUGAAAUGCGUAGAGAUCAGGAGGAACACCGAUGGCGAAGGCAGCCCCCUGGGUCGACACUGACGCUCAGGCACGAAAGCGUGGGGAGCAAACAGG